GGUUUCCUAAAGUUUGUAGACUUCGGUCUG
rnacentral:rRNA from 1 species